AUUGAACGCUGGCGGCAGGCUUAACACAUGCAAGUCGAGCGGGGGAAGGUAGCUUGCUACCGGACCUAGCGGCGGACGGGUGAGUAAUGCUUAGGAAUCUGCCUAUUAGUGGGGGACAACAUCUCGAAAGGGAUGCUAAUACCGCAUACGUCCUACGGGAGAAAGCAGGGGAUCUUCGGACCUUGCGCUAAUAGAUGAGCCUAUGUCGGAUUAGCUAGUUGGUGGGGUAAAGGCCUACCAAGGCGACGAUCUGUAGCGGGUCUGAGAGGAUGAUCCGCCACACUGGGACUGAGACACGGCCCAGACUCCUACGGGAGGCAGCAGUGGGGAAUAUUGGACAAUGGGGGGAACCCUGAUCCAGCCAUGCCGCGUGUGUGAAGAAGGCCUUAUGGUUGUAAAGCACUUUAAGCGAGGAGGAGGCUAUUCUAGUUAAUACCUAGGGAUAGUGGACGUUACUCGCAGAAUAAGCACCGGCUAACUCUGUGCCAGCAGCCGCCGUAA
rnacentral:rRNA from 1 species